rnacentral:rRNA from 1 species
UACGAAGGGGGCUAGCGUUGUUCGGAAUUACUGGGCGUAAAGCGCACGUAGGCGGAGCGAUCAGUCAGGGGUGAAAUCCCAGGGCUCAACCCUGGAACUGCCUUUGAUACUGUCGAUCUGGAGUAUGGAAGAGGUGAGUGGAAUUCCGAGUGUAGAGGUGAAAUUCGUAGAUAUUCGGAGGAACACCAGUGGCGAAGGCGGCUCACUGGUCCAUUACUGACGCUGAGGUGCGAAAGCGUGGGGAGCGAACAGG